rnacentral:rRNA from 1 species
UACAGCAGUGUCCCCGGCUUGUAGGCUGAUCUCGCCAGAUCUCAGAAGCUGAGCGAGGCUGGGCCUGGUCAGUACUGGGCUGGGAGACAGCUAAGGAAAACCAGGUUGCAGCUGCAG